UACAGAGGUCUCAAGCGUUGUUCGGAUUCAUUGGGCGUAAAGGGUGUGUAGGUGGCGCCGUAAGUCGGGUGUGAAAUUUCGGAGCUUAACUCCGAAACUGCAUUCGAUACUGCGGUGCUUGAGGACUGGAGAGGAGACUGGAAUUCAUGGUGUAGCAGUGAAAUGCGUAGAGAUCAUGAGGAAGACCAGUGGCGAAGGCGGGUCUCUGGACAGUUCCUGACACUGAGACACGAAGGCCCAGGGGAGGCAAACGGG
rnacentral:rRNA from 1 species